AGCAGUAGGGAAUCUUCCACAAUGGACGGAAGUCUGAUGGAGCAACGCCGCGUGAGUGAAGAAGGGUUUCGGCUCGUAAAACUCUGUUGUUAAAGAAGAACAUAUCUGAGAGUAACUGUUCAGGUAUUGACGGUAUUUAACCAGAAAGCCACGGCUAACUACGUGCCAGCAGCCGCGGUAAUACGUAGGUGGCAAGCGUUGUCCGGAUUUAUUGGGCGUAAAGCGAGCGCAGGCGGUUUUUUAAGUCUGAUGUGAAAGCCUUCGGCUCAACCGAAGAAGUGCAUUGGAAACUGGGAAACUUGAGUGCAGAAGAGGACAGUGGAACUCCAUGUGUAGCGGUGAAAUGCGUAGAUAUAUGGAAGAACACCAGUGGCGAAGGCGGCUGUCUGGUCUGUAACUGACGCUGAGGCUCGAAAGUAUGGGUAGCAAACAGGAUUAGAUACCCUGGUAGUCCAUACCGUAAACGAUGAAUGCUAAGUGUUGGAGGGUUUCCGCCCUUCAGUGCUGCAGCUAACGCAUUAAGUAUUCCGCCUGGGGAGUACGGCCGCAAGGUUGAAACUCAAAGAAAUUUGACGG
rnacentral:rRNA from 1 species